CAUAACACUCAAUUAGAAAAAAAAUAAAAUCUCUUUCUUCUCUCUAAAUUCUCUCUCUACACAAAACCUCCAUCGAAGGACCUUGAAGCUCCAAGAGGAGGAUCAAUUCUAAAUGUUUUAAACUCAAUUUCGUUUCUAAGCCUUCAUUAAGAUAAAUAUCAUGAGUUUUGGAUGAAUUCAUGGAAGGGUAUCUUGGAGGCCAUUGGUUCGGGCCAUUGAAGUGAUUCUAGUCUUUUCUUGAAGAAUAUUGGGUUGCUAUUCCCAAGUUGGUGAGUCCUCAGGUCCGAGGAUGGAGAUGCUUGAUUCUAAUUCUAGUUUCACUUUCCUUAUUCAAAGACUAUGUUAUAAUUCGUAUUAUAAGACAUGUUAUUGAUGAAGGGCGACGUCCCAAUAUUCAUACUCUUAUGUCUAGAUGGAAAUGUGAGACAAGUUAGUUUCUAUCUAGAUAUAUGAAAUGAAGUUUAACUUUCAAUGAAAAUUUUUACAGU